rnacentral:misc_RNA from 1 species
AAAUGCGAUAAGUAAUGUGAAUUGCAGAAUUCAGUGAAUCAUCGAAUCUUUGAACGCACCUUGCGCUCCUUGGUAUUCCUUGGAGCAUGCCUGUUUGAGUAUCAUGAAAUCUUCAAAGUAAAUCUUUUGUUAACUCAAUUGGUUUCUACUUUGGUAUUGGAGGUCUUUGCAGCUUCACACCUGCUCCUCUUUGUUCAUUAGCUGGAUCUCAGUGUUAUGCUUGGUUCCACUCGGCGUGAUAAGUUAUCUAUCGCUGAGGACACUGUAAAAGGUGGCCAAGGUAAAUGCAGAUGAACCGCUUCUAAUAGUCCAUUGACUUGGACAAUACUUUUAUGAUCUGAUCUCAAAUCUGGUAGGACUACCCGCUGAACUUAAGC